CCUACGGGAGGCAGCAGUGAGGAAUAUUGGACAAUGGGCGCAAGCCUGAUCCAGCCAUGCCGCGUGCAGGAAGAAGCAUCUAUGGUGUGUAAACUGCUUUUGUACAGGAAGAAACACUCCCUCGUGAGGGAGCUUGACGGUACUGUAAGAAUAAGGACCGGCUAACUCCGUGCCAGCAGCCGCGGUAAUACGGAGGGUCCGAGCGUUAUCCGGAAUCAUUGGGUUUAAAGGGUCCGUAGGCGGUUUAAUAAGUCAGUGGUGAAAUCUGGUCGCUCAACGAUCAAACGGCCAUUGAUACUGUUAGACUUGAAUUAUAAGGAAGUAACUAGAAUAUGUAGUGUAGCGGUGAAAUGCUUAGAUAUUACAUGGAAUACCAAUUGCGAAGGCAGGUUACUACUUAUGGAUUGACGCUGAUGGACGAAAGCGUGGGGAGCGAACAGGAUUAGAUACCCUGGUAGUCCACGCCGUAAACGAUGGAUACUAGCUGUUCGGAGCAAUCUGAGUGGCUAAGCGAAAGUGAUAAGUAUCCCACCUGGGGAGUACGUUCGCAAGAAUGAAACUCAAAAGUAGUAGUUACGGACGUGAGACGUAGCGACGGACGACCGACGACGGGAGGGUUAGGGAGG
rnacentral:rRNA from 1 species